rnacentral:lncRNA from 1 species
ACCCGGCCCACGUUUUCUGACUGGAGUCGUGUACCGGGUACACGACUCCCGUACAGCUAGCACAUUUUGCCGCGUAUGGUGGAAGUCGUGUAACCCGUACACGACUUCCGUACAAUGAGUCAACAGUGAGUCAACGGUCAACAGUCCAGUCAACCGUAGGGUUCACGGGUGGACGUAGGGUUCAGAGGGUGUGGACACGUGUC